rnacentral:lncRNA from 1 species
UACCUUAUUUUAUCAAUUUUUAUUUUUUUUUGUGUAGUUGAUAGUACUCUGUACUCAUUCGUGGCAAAUACAAGAAAAUCUCUCCAUGAGAACUAAUCAAAGAGCAUUACUUGCAGAGGAGGAAAAAGAAAAAACCAGCUAGCUGCAAGAAACACAAGAUAACCCAAGUUUCUAAAUUUUUUGUGAAGUUCACCACACAUAUUACAUGGAGAGUAGCAAUAUAGCUAUUAAUAGAACAAGUGUUGUUGUUGUGGUUGGAAUUAAGAAGGAAAAAAAUAAGGGGGGGUGGAGGUGAAUAACCUGUUGUGGAAAUCUUAAAGACUGCUAGUAAUGGUAGAAGAAGUAUAAGCAUUGAUUUUCAAGGGAAAGAAGCUGGUUCUUCGAAAGCAACCUAAUGUUUAAUGGGUAAUGUUCGUGGCGUUGAAUCAUCUGAUGAGUGUAGUACUAUUACAAAUUGUGAUCCUAAAGCCAUGAUAAGCUUAGUUGGAAUAUAAUCAGAAGGCGAACGAGCAGGAGAUAUAUUGUUGUAAUUACAGGUUGAAGAGGCUUCACAAGCUUAUUUCACCAUGAAGUUUUGAGUUCGAGAAAUUAAGCCAGCAGGGGAAAAAGCGAAGAAUUUUGAUCAAAUUCAGCCUGAAUCACCUUUCGCGGAGACCUUAAAGACUGCUAGUAUGGGUCGAAGAAGCAUAAGCAUUGAUUCUCAAGGGAAAAAACCUGGUUCUUGUAAAGCAACUUUAUGUUUAAUGACUAAUGUCCAUGGCACUGAAUCAUCUCAUAAGUGUGGACCGUUGAAGAGGCUUCAUAAGCUUAUUAUUUUUUCAAUAAGUCUUGAGUUCGAGAAAUUGAGCCAACACAUUUUCAACACACUUCACAU